UGGAGCUCUCCGUUCAGGCUGCUCACCUCUCUGUCUCUCUCCGUCAGCUAGACAGGCAGCGGGCAGAAUAGCGCUGGUUACAUGGAGAGCUGUUAGUCAAGAACUCGUACCGAUACAUGGGGACCUGUGACCCUGAGUGUUAAAAGACAAAGCAGAAAGACAAAGCAGAACUUUACCUUCUCUAGACGGUAGGAUGACCCUGCCCGAGAAAGGAAAGAAAGACUGCCAAGAAGCUAAAGGAAGACAUGGUCGCAUUGCAGGUUUCCCAGCAGUCAACUAAAGUCACUAUUCCCGCCGAAGAAGAGAAAGUACCAGGAUUUACAAAGGGAAGGAGAGUUACUCCACCAAAGGAGAGAGAGGUUCUCCACACCCUUUUUAAAGUGAGAUGGCAAAUACUGGGGACAGUAUUCUAAUAAGGAUCUGCCGAUGCAGAGCACAGCAGAAGGAUUACAUCCCAGGCUUCAUCAUACUCCAGUUUAUACAUCCCAGAGUUCUAAAAACAUUUGGACGCUCUAUCCAGGUCUAUGAUGCUGAUAAUUCUUCAGAAAAUUGGAGGUCAAUGGGAAAAAAAUAUGCCCAUAGUUCAAGAAGAAGCUCUGCAAGAAUCACAAGAUAAAGAGGCGAAAAUGAAAACUGCACUGCAAGCAACUGUUACUACAAAGGGCAGACAAUGUGAGCAUGGUGUAUCUGGGAUUUUGGACUCUGUUUUGGCCUUUUCACCCUCGCUUGACCUUCUGGGUACAUUUCACUGGCAGUGCCAUCUUCUUUGAGUGUGAAAGACACUAUAUGUAGGUAAAAUGGAAAGUGGGUGAGAAAGGAAUAAUGGAUGGCAGGAAUUGAAAUGUCUAAUAUGGACUGAAGUGUUCAAAAUUAUUUUACAACCAUAAAAGCUUUGGAAUGAAA